rnacentral:rRNA from 1 species
GUGAAGCGACAAAAGCUCAAAUUUGAAAUCUGGCACCUUCGGUGUCCGAGUUGUAAUUUGAAGAAGGUAACUUUGGAGUUGGCUCUUGUCUAUGUUCCUUGGAACAGGACGUCACAGAGGGUGAGAAUCCCGUGCGAUGAGAUGUCCAACUCUAUGUAAAGUGCUUUCGAAGAGUCGAGUUGUUUGGGAAUGCAGCUCUAAGUGGGUGGUAAAUUCCAUCUAAAGCUAAAUAUUGGCGAGAGACCGAUAGCGAACAAGUACAGUGAUGGAAAGAUGAAAAGAACUUUGAAAAGAGAGUGAAAAAGUACGUGAAAUUGUUGAAAGGGAAGGGUUUGAGAUCAGACUUGGUAUUUUGUAUGUCUUGCUUUCGGGUGGGGCCUCUGCAGUUUACUGGGCCAGCAUCGGUUUGGACGGUAGGAUAAUGACAUUGGAAUGUGGCACUACUUCGGUG